AGUCGGACGGGAUUGAGGAGCUUGCUUCUCAUGAGAGUGGCGCACGGGUGCGUAACACGUAUGUAACCUACCUUGUUCAGGGGGAUAGCCUCUCGAAAGAGAGAUUAACACCGCAUAAAAUCAAUUUAUGGCAUCAUAGAAUGAUCAAAUAUUUAUAGGAACAAGAUGGGCAUGCGGAACAUUAGCUAGUUGGUAAGGUAACGGCUUACCAAGGCUACGAUGUUUAGGGGAUCUGAGAGGAUGACCCCCCACACUGGUACUGAGACACGGACCAGACUCCUACGGGAGGCAGCAGUAAGGAAUAUUGGUCAAUGGACGCAAGUCUGAACCAGCCAUGCCGCGUGCAGGAAGAUGGCCCUACGGGUUGUAAACUGCUUUUGUACCGGAAUAAACCUUUUCACGUGUGAGAAGCUGAAUGUACGGUAAGAAUAAGGAUCGGCUAACUCCGUGCCAGCAGCCGCGGUAAUACGGAGGAUCCAAGCGUUAUCCGGAUUUAUUGGGUUUAAAGGGUGCGUAGGUGGCCUAUUAAGUCAGGGGUGAAGGACGGUAGCUUAACUAUCGCAGUGCCUUUGAUACUGAUGGGCUUGAAUACACUUGAGGUAGGCGGAAUGUGACAAGUAGCGGUGAAAUGCAUAGAUAUGUCACAGAACACCAAUUGCGAAGGCAGCUUACUAAAGUGUUAUUGACACUGAGGCACGAAAGCGUGGGGAUCAAACAGGAUUAGAUACCCUGGUAGUCCACGCCCUAAACGAUGAAUACUCGAUGUUGGCGAUAUACGGUCAGCGUCUAAGCGAAAGCGUUAAGUAUUCCACCUGGGGAGUACGCCCGCAAGGGUGAAACUCAAAGGAAUUGACGGGGGCCCGCACAAGCGGA
rnacentral:rRNA from 1 species